rnacentral:rRNA from 1 species
UACGGAGGGUGCAAACGUUGCUCGGAAUCAUUGGGCGUAAAGCGCACGUAGGCGGCUCGUUAAGUCGGGUGUGAAAGCCCUGGGCUCAACCCAGGAAGUGCAUUCGAAACUGGCGAGCUUGAAUAUGGAAGAGGGUCGCGGAAUUCCCGGUGUAGAGGUGAAAUUCGUAGAUAUCGGGAGGAACACCGGUGGCGAAGGCGGCGACCUGGGACGAUACUGACGCUGAGGUGCGAAAGCGUGGGGAGCAAACAGG